UACGGGGGGGGCAAGCGUUGUUCGGAAUUACUGGGCGUAACGGGCUCGUAGGCGGCCAACUAAGUCAGACGUGAAAUCCCCAGGCUCAACCUGGGAACUGCGUCUGAUACUGGAUGGCUUGAAUCCGGGAGAGGGAUGCAGAAUUCCAGGUGUAGCGGUGAAAUGCGUAGAUAUCUGGAGGAAUACCGGUGGCGAAGGCGGCAUCCUGGACCGGCAUUGACGCUGAGGAGCGAAAGCCAGGGGAGCAAACGGG
rnacentral:rRNA from 1 species